GCUAGGCUUGCUAAUAUUGGCCAUAGGACGGAGCUUAUACUUUCGUAAAGCAAUCAGCAGAUAACUGAUGUAAUGUGGGUUCGAUUCCCACGCCUAGCACCA
rnacentral:tRNA from 1 species